CCUUCGAUAGCUCAGUUGGUAGAGCGGUGGACUGUAGAUGUGAAACGCGCUAAUAGUAAUCCAUAGGUCGCUGGUUCAAAUCCGGCUCGAAGGA
rnacentral:tRNA from 2 species